UCUGAGAAAAGAAAGGUGCUCUUUCCAUUUUACAGAUGAGGCAACUCAGGCUCAGAACGGUUGAGCUGCUUGUGCGGUCACAGAGUAAGUUGUAGAGGAA